GUGACAUCUUCCGAAUUUUCAAAGUGCUCUCAUUCCCUUAUUUCUGAUCGAAUCCUAUUAUAACCCGGUAUUUUCGUGAUGUACUUGAUGAGAGCAAUUCGCUGGUAUAGUUAGUUCAAAUUCGAAAAAAAAAAAUUUUUCUGAAAAAAAUCGAAACGGGGGGGUAUACCCGAAACAUGAAAAAACCCAAACUUUGAAGGCCGAUAUCUUGGCUUCUAAGGGAGCUAUCGGAAAAAUUCCAACGGUUUUAUCUUAGUUUCGUCCUUCUGAAUCCAACAAGACCAUCCACAAGGUCGUAGCUUUUACGAUAGCCGAGAUAUGGCAUUUUGAUGCCCAUUUUUGGCCUCAAAAACGAGAUCAAAAAGUGACAAUUUCCAAAUUUUUAAAGUGCUCUCAUUCCCUUAUUUCUGAUCGAAUCCUGUUAUAACCCGGUAUUUUCGUGAUGUACUUAAUAAAGAUAGAUAAGAAUAAUCCGCUGGUAUAGUUAGUUCGAAUUCGAAAAAAAAAAUUUUUCUGAAAAAAAUCGAAACGGUCGAAAUGAAAUCGAAAUGAAAUGAAAUCGAAAUGAAAAAACCCAAACUUUGAAGGCCGAUAUCUCGGCUUCUAUAGGAGUUAUCGAAAAGUUUCAACGGUUUUGUCUUAGUUUCGUCCUUCUGAAUCCAACAAGACCAUCCGCAAGGUCAUAGCUUUUACGAUAGCCGAGAUAUGGCAUUUUUGAUGCCCAUUUUUGGCCUCAAAAACGAGGUCAAAAAGUGACAUCUUCCGAAUUUUCAAAGUGCUCUCAUUCUCUUAUUUCUGAUCGAAUCCUAUUAUAACCCGGUAUUUUCGUGAUGUACUUGAUGAGGACAAUUCGCUGGUAUAGUUAGUUCAAAUUCGAAAAAAAAAAAUUUUCUGAAAAAAAUCGAAACGGGCUUCUAUGGGAGCUAUCGGGAAAGUUUCAACGGUUUUGUCUUAGUUUCGUCCUUCUGAAUCCAACAAGACCAUCCGCAAGGUCAUAGCUUUUACGAUAGCCGAGAUAUGGCAUUUUUGAUGCCCAUUUUUGGCCUCAAAAACGAGGUCAAAAAGUGACAUCUUCCGAAUUUUCAAAGUGCUCUCAUUCCCUUAUUUCUGAUCGAAUCCUGUUAUAACCCGGUAUUUUCGUGAUGUACAUGAUAAGAACAAUCCGCUGGUAUAGUUCGAAUUCGAAAAAAAAAAAAUUCUUAAAAACAUCGAAACGGGGGGGUAUACCCAAAAAAUAAAAAAUUCCAAAUUUUGAAGGCCGAUAUCUCGGCUUCUAUUGGAGCUAUCGGGAAAAUUCCAACAGUUUUGUCUUAGUUUAGUCCUUCUGAAUCCAACAAGACCAUCCGCAAGGUCGUAGCUUUUACGAUAGCCGAGAUAUGGCAUUUUUGAUGCCCAUUUUUGGCCUCAAAAACGAGGUCAAAAAGUGACAUCUUCCGAAUUUUCAAAGUGCUCUCAUUCCCUUAUUUCUGAUCGAAUCCUGUUAUAACCCGGUAUUUUCGUGAUGUACUUCAUAAGAACAAUCCGCUGGUAUAGUUAGUUCAAUUUCUAAAAAAAAAAAUUUUUCUGAAAAAAAUCGAAACGGGGGGGUAUACCCGAAAAAUGAAAAAACCCAAACUUUGAAGGCCGACAUCUCGGUUUCUAUGGGAGCUAUCGGAAAAAUUACAACGGUUUUGUCUUUGUUUCGUCCUUCUGAAUCCAACGAGACCAUCCGCAAGGUCGUAGCUUUUACGAUAGCCGAUUUAUGGCAUUUUUGAUGCCCAUUUUUGGCCUCAAA